rnacentral:lncRNA from 1 species
AUAGGUAAAUUAUUAACUAUUUGGUGGAUCUGUUUGAAAUUAAGCACACUUUAAUAACUCAUUGACGGCCAAAAUUUGUAUUAGUUAUAUUGGAUAUUAAUAUGCAAAAACAAAGUUGUUAACAUUUAUAAAUUACUGCAAAGAUGAGGGAUUUUUGCAAUUAUCAGUUGUUCAUGUAUUUUUAAUAUGAAAAUUCUCAAAAUUAAAAAAUUUCUUAUGUUCUCCAGGUUUUAUUUGAACCAUUUUUCUCUCAAAUUUACGAGACACGUUUAAUAGGCAAAAAAUAUGUUUUUUACUUGAUUGUUUAAAAAAAUUAAAGAAAAAUCAUCUGUACGUCUUUGCGAAUUUUUUGACAGCUAUCUGUCAAAUAUUUUUGAGAGCCCUCAAAUAUCUGCAUCAGAUUUUUACGUGACAUCAAUGGUUUUUUCUUUGUCUAAUUUUUCUUUGAUUAAUUUUGUCUAAUUUUUCUUUUUUAUGAAUAAAAAUUUUGAACUUUACCAAUACUCUAUGAAUAAUAUACUGUAUAGAGAUAUCUGUUCCUCUUAAAGUAUUAUUAUGGUUUUAGUAUUUUUUUACAGUCUUUCUAAAACACGAAGAAUUAAACUAGCCUUACUUUUCUCUCAUAAAAAAUAAAAGUAUAAACUUACAUAAAACUAUAAAGAUGUAACCUGCUCCCAGCCCUUAAUUAGGCUGUGUGUCGUCAGAAUCACCGUUUUCUUCCAGGCGAAUAACUUUUAGAGAAUUUUCCCUGAUACCAGCUAAAUGUCACACACGAAUCACGAGCAAAUGCCGUUUUUGACAAGUGUAAACCCAGGUUUACUUAAAAAUCGCGACGAAGUAUACCGAAACGAGAUCCACCUUUUCGCAACGUACUGUGGGUGCUUUGGGUAUCUUCGACGACCAAGAGCGACGUGGGUACUGACAAGAGAACCACUGAUGGUAGAGAGUGGUGGACGUACUGCAGAAACUUUUUCCUGCGACCAGCUUUUAGACAGGAGGUUCACGUGCUUCUGAUACGGCAGCGAGUACUCUUACACUGAUUUUUCAAGCUUUGAUAAUGGGACGUCAUUUAUUUGAGAAGAGAUAAUGUAUCGAGAUUUAUUAGGUUUUAUUUGUUUUUUGGAUUUAAGUUUUACUGGAAAAUAUAUUGUUCAGAGUUGACUGACAGGUUUUGUUGUCGCAGGUGUUUUACAAUUUUUAAUUUAAUUUCUAGUGAACAGUUAUUAUUUCUUCUUCUACUGUUUAUUGUUUUUGACUCAGUUAGGUGCUUGUUUGUAUAGAUACAACAAUGGCGACCGGAGACCAUGGACAGGAAAGAGAGCAAGAGGACGACCCUAGAUGAGAUGGGAAGAUGACAUUAGAAAGAUAGGAGGAACACACUGGAAACAGAAAGCACUAAACAGAAGCCAAUGGAGGAAACUAAGAGAAGCCUAUGUUAAAAAUUGGACUAAUUAAAGGGCAAAAGAAG